GAAAUGCGAUAAGUAAUGUGAAUUGCAGAAUUCCGUGAAUCAUCGAAUCUUUGAACGCACAUUGCGCCCUCUGGUAUUCCGGGGGGCAUGCCUGUCCGAGCGUCAUUGCGAACCCCUCAAGCACGGCUUGUGUGAUGGGCCCUCCCGCGUCUUGGUCGUCAAGACGGGCCCGAAAUGCAGUGGCGGCUUCGCGGUUAUCCGAUCAGCCAGAGCGUAUGGGGACGCUACAGUCACACGCUCGCGGCGCGGCCCGGCGCUGGCCGACCCCCCUAACCAUUCUACGGUGUGACCUCGGAUCAGGUAGGGAUACCCGCUGAACUUAAGC
rnacentral:misc_RNA from 1 species